GACCAACAUUAUAGGUAGCAUGCUAAUUGGGGUAUCUUAGAAUUAAUUAGUAUUAAAUUUGAAAAAGUUGAGUUUAAGAGUUUUUAGUUGUGAGAUGUGUUUAUUGGUAGGAUCUUAAGUUGGGUAUCUUAGAAAAAAAAAAUAUAAUUUGUAAUUUAAGAAAAUUUUAUAAUUAUUACAAAUUUAGAAUUUGAAAACAUACAUAAGAGAGAAAUUAUAUGAUAGAAAUUAUAACAUAAAGUACAAUAACUUUAAAC
rnacentral:lncRNA from 1 species